UAAUACGUAGGGUGCAAGCGUUAAUCGGAAUUACUGGGCGUAAAGCGUGCGCAGGCGGUUGUGCAAGACAGGUGUGAAAUCCCCGGGCUUAACCUGGGAACCGCACUUGUGACUGCACGACUAGAGUACGGCAGAGGGGGAUGGAAUUCCGCGUGUAGCAGUGAAAUGCGUAGAUAUGCGGAGGAACACCGAUGGCGAAGGCAGUCCCCUGGGCCUGUACUGACGCUCAUGCACGAAAGCGUGGGGAGCAAACAGGAUUAGAUACCCUGGUAGUCCACGCCCUAAACGAUGUCAACUGGUUGUUGGGAAGGUUCCUUCUCAGUAACGUAGCUAACGCGUGAAGUUGACCGCCUGGGGAGUACGGCCGCAAGGUUGAAACUCAAAUGAAUUGACGG
rnacentral:rRNA from 1 species